UCACAGAUUCAUGGUGACAGAUGCGAACGCAAAGAAUGAGGACAUACAGCUUUUAUGAGACAAACAUGCAUAUUGCUGGUCAAAGCCAAUAAUCUCCCUCUCUCUCAACUGUGGGGGUAAAGAAUAAAUGCACACUGCAGGAAAAAGGGGCCUUACAGUGGGUAAGAAAGAACCACCAUUUGGGAACAGUACCAGAGAGAAACGCACAUUUAGACUGGGUAGUGAAGAGAGCAUCGGCUUACUAGUCAGUUACCAUGUUCCUGGGAGCUUUGAUGAUCUGCCAAAACAUGACAGAUGUUCAG
rnacentral:lncRNA from 1 species